UACGUAGGGUGCAAGCGUUGUCCGGAAUUAUUGGGCGUAAAGCGUGCGCAGGCGGUUUUGUAAGUCUGUCGUGAAAGCCCCGGGCUCAACCUGGGAAUUGCGAUGGAGACUGCAAGGCUUGAAUCUGGCAGAGGGGGGUAGAAUUCCACGUGUAGCAGUGAAAUGCGUAGAGAUGUGGAGGAACACCGAUGGCGAAGGCAGCCCCCUGGGUCAAGAUUGACGCUCAUGCACGAAAGCGUGGGAGCAAACAGG
rnacentral:rRNA from 1 species